ensembl:lncRNA
AACCAGGUUGGUUUAUGACUUUAUCUAUGACUGCUCUUAUCUUCUGUUCACCUGGAUAUUCCUAUUCCAGUGUGUGUGAGACAGAGAUAGAGGUUACUUCACUUGCUUUGGCAAUGUUUACAUAUGCUUCCCAUAACAAUAACGCCCUUAAAUGAGAGAGAGAGAGAUGUUACGAGCGAGGGACAGAGAGAGACAGUUAAUUAUAAUCUUACUUGCUGUGGAAAUGAGUCUGAUCCAGUAGUUAGUAGAGUAGUCUGAUCCAGGUGUGUUUUAGACCAGUAGUUAGUAGUCUGAUCCAGGUGGGUUUUAGACCAGUAGUUAGUAGAGUAGUCUGAUCCUGGUGUGUUUUAGACCGGUAGUUAGUAGAGUAGUCUGAUCCAGGUGUGUUUUAGACCGGUAGUUAGUAGAGUAGUCUGAUCCUGGUGUGUUUUAGACCGGUAGUUAGUAGAGUAGUCUGAUCCAGGUGUGUUUUAGACCAGUAGUUAGUAGAGUAGUCUGAUCCUGGUGUGUUUUAGACCGGUAGUUAGUAGUCUGAUCCAGGUGUGUUUUAGACCAGUAGUUAGUAGUCUGAUCCAGGGGGUUUUAGACCAGUAGUUAGUAGUCUGAUCCAGGUGGGUUUUAGACCAGUAGUUAGUAGUCUGAUCCAGGUGUGUUUUAGAUCAGUAGUUAGUAGUCUGAUCCAGGUGUGUUUUAGACCAGUAGUUAGUAGAGUAGUCUGAUCCAGGGUUGUUUUAGACCAGUAGUUAGUAGAGUAGUCUGAUCCAGGUGUGUUUUAGACCAGUAGUUAGUAGUCUGAUCAGGUGUGUUUUAGACCAGUAGUUAGUGGACUAGUCUGAUCCAGGUGUGUUUUAGACCAGUACUUAGUAGUCUGAUCCAGGUGUGUUUUAGAUCAGUAGUUAGUAGAGUAGUCUGAUCCAGGUGUGUUUUAUACCAGUAGUUAGUAGAGUAGUCUGAUCCAGGUGUGUUUUAGACCGGUAGUUAGUAGUCUGAUCCAGGUGUGUUUUAGA